GCACAGGCUCCUAAACCCAACCUCGUAUCGCCUCCUGCGAGUAGCUUCCAGGUGUCCACAGGGAGCCCGGGGUCAUGCUGGCAUCAUUCAUUCUCCACGCAUCAGAUGAUCCUGUGGCCCCUCAGUGCCAGGCCCCACUGGCCCUCUGCGCACAUCAGUGACUCUGAUGUUCUCCCCCACCGCAUGCUGCCAAUCUGAUGGUGGAGACAGAACAGCAGUCCCGGAUGGUGGAGGCAAUGCCCAGAGCUGUGGCAGCCACCUUGCAGCCGUGAAGCACCAGUGGGAAUGACAGUCAAGAGAACCACGGAGAUGCCAGCCCCUGGACCCACAGCAGCAGCACCUGCUUCCAGACUCAGAGUGUGAGAAAAAAAUAAACUCCUAUUUGUUUAUGGCAAGUUUCCUGCGGCUGUCUGCACACCCAGACCAGAGCAGUUCCUGCCUUUGCGCUUUGCACCAUUUUCCUUGGUGAACUUCUAUUCAUCCUUCAAAGCCCAGCAGUAAUCAUCCUUUAGAAAGUCUUCUUUCAGAGGGAACCAAAAAGGUAAUCGCUGGAGACAGACAGAUGCUGCCUGAAUGCCUGUUGUGUUGUGUGGUUGUGGGAAUGUUACUUCACCUCUCCGUGCCUCAGUUUCCUCAGCUGUAAUGGGGAUGGUAACAGUGUCUAGGGGUACUGCUUGGAAUGCACAUAGGGAGAUGAGUGAAGGCCCAGCACUAGAAGAGUGCAGGCACUAGCAGAGUGCAGGCGCAAUUGCUGCUGGGACCAGCAGGUAACUCGCAUCCAAGUUACAGUGCCCAGCCCCAGCAGCAGCCUCAGCACCAGGCAGAGUGUGCUCAGCACUGUGGGGGGCCAAGAGGACUUGAGGGCCGCUGGUCUGUGAUUCUCUCAUCUCUUUUGAGGUUCAGGACUUGGCGUCUCUCCUAGAAGCUCUGGGGAACCUGACAAAUCCUCCAGGAGGACACAGAACGCAGGAAGGGCUGGCUCGGGGUGCACCAAGAUGGCUGCCCCGAGACACCGUAUCUGAGGGCUUGGGUGGAACUGAGGAGAGGGCGGCUGGGAAGGCCAUCCGGGAGGAAAGGGCAGACGGCUACGGCAGCGUCAGGUGGUACAGUUUGCCCCGGAAGUGAGGUAAAGAAGAGAGCGGGAGGAGAGAGGGCCACAUGCCUCUCAGCCAUGGCCCUGAAUGCUGGCUUGGCUGAGCCUCAUCUUUGCUGUUUGCAGAAUGGGGAGAAUUGUGCCUGCCCAGCCUCCUCCUUGGGGACUCCAGGGGCCCAAAGAACCAAGAGCUGCAAAUGUCCUGGUGGCCUUGGAAGUUUAUGGAUGGUACAGAUCUGGGGUGGAGGGCAUGGCCAGGACAGGGAGGGCUGUCAGAGAGAGGGUCUGUGGGUUUGUGGAGUGUGGGGAUCAGUCGCUGACUCAUUAGAUGAACCAGGAGCCUGCAUGCUACAGCCCACCUGCCAAAUCUUGCCCCCACCUGCUUUUUAAAAUAAAGUUUUAUUGGAAC
rnacentral:lncRNA from 1 species